rnacentral:lncRNA from 1 species
UCCGGCAUUGCUGUGAGCUGUGGUGUAGGUUGCAGAUGUGAUUCGGAUCCCGUGUUGCUGUGUCUCUGGCGUAGGCUGGUGGCUACAGCUCCAAUUAGACCCCUAGCCUGGGAACCUGCAUAUGCCAUGGGAGCGGCACAAAGAAAUAGCAAAAAGACAAAAAUAUAUAUAUAUAGAUAUAAUAUAUUAUGAUCAAAUGUCUACGAGCUCCACCUCGAUAAUUUGCAUUGGACAUAUCCCACGUUAAUUCUGUCCAUUUCUGUUUGCCUGCCUCUGAGCAGAUGUGUGUGCGGGUGGCUGUGGUUGUCACCUGAAACUGCAGAGAAUUCAUUUUAAAUAUGAAGUUUUCAAUAAAUCUGAAUUCUCCCUCUAGUUCUCCAUCAUGAUGUUUACAUUUACUUUUUUUUUUUUUUUUUUUUUUUUUUUGCAGAAAAGCUUCAGAAAGUAAAUGGAGAACUUCAGGAUGAAACAGACACACUUCGGAAAAAAAACGGUAAAUUUUCUGAGAUCCCAUUGCUCUUGAUCCCCUUUAAAGCGACUGGUUCAGCAUUUCAUCUUGUCUGCCGUUUCAUGUAUUUCACUUGUGUCGGCAGGCCUGUCUCCUGUAUGUCAUGUCUACGAGCUCCACCUCGAUAAAUUGCAUUGGACAUAUCCCACGUUAAUUCUGUCCAUUUCUGUUUGCCUGCCUCUGAGCAGAUGUGUGUGCGGGUGGCUGUGGUUGUCACCUGAAACUGCAGAGGGUUCAUUUUAAAUAUGAAGUUUUCAAUAAAUCUGAAUUCUCCCUCUAGUUCUCCA